GCCAUCAUGGCAGAGUGGUUGUGCUGCUUGAAAAAAACAGUGCUUAUCUCAUCAUAAGUGCAGUGGUCUGGGGUUCUAUUCCCCAUGUUGUAU